AAUAAUUUUCAAUUUUUAGUACUAUGUUAUAUAGGUUAUAUAGGAUGUAGUUAAUUUUAAGUGAACUAUAGCCAAGCUAUAAUUAAUUUAAGUAUUUUUAUUUUAUUUUAUUUUUAUAAUUUUUAAUCAUCACCGUCUCCCUAAUGUGUACUUGCUAGUUAAGAUAAGUAGAUAUUUUGUACCAUAAUAAGUGUAUUGAUAAAAUUCACAAUUAAACAAUCAAAUAAACUAUAUAGUUAUGAAAAUAAACACAUUUAAUUUACGUAUUUACUAUUUACUAAUUUUGUCUUAAUUAAGUAUAUACCUAAAUCAGGUUUUUACGAGGUGUAGAAUGUAGGCAUUCAUUGUAUUGUUUCAUAAAAAUGAUUUCAUUUAUAUUUAAAACCAAAAUUAAUAUGAAAUUAUAUUACCAUAAGUCAAAUAAUUUUAAUGAUAAUAAGUAAUAACAAAUAAGUAGCUGUAGUUUUUUAAAUAAUACACUUGCACUAUACGAAUACUUGUAUGAAGUUGAAUAUUAGUUACCUAUAAUUGGUUAUAUACCUACUAGGGAUAAUAAUUAUUUAUUUUUAAAUAUUUCUUUAAACUGUUAACGGUAAGAAGGAAAAAUGAAGUGCCAGUUAAUAUUAUUAAAAUAACGUAGUAAAAAUAAGAAAUAAAAAUAUAAUUAAGUAUGUAUUAUUUUUUGAAAUACGUAUUAUCACAAAGUAAACGAUUGUUCUUAAAUCAUAAAUGUACCUAUUGAAAAAUUAUUAUUUAAAUGGUUUUAUAGUUAUUUUAAAAAUGUAGUUGUGAUUGAACUUUAAGUUUCAAACCUAUUUCAUAUCAGUGUAAGUAGGUAAUUUAAAAACAUGGUGGUAUUAUAUUUUUAUUAUAUAUACGAAUAUUAAAUUUUAAACCAACAUAAGUUUAAUAGUUAGGUUUUAUUUAUUUAUUAUGUUAAAAUAAAAUAAUGUGUAGUUGGUAUUGUAAAUACUAAUUAAGUGAAAAUUUACCACAAUCAUAUAAUUGCACAUAAGUUGUUGAUAGUAUAAUAUGUAACUGGAGGCUUAAAAAUAUAAGUAUAUGAGUUAAGAUACUAACUGAAAUAUAGAAAAUACAGUAUUAAAAAUAAAGUGUGAAUGUCAAUAAAUUAGGUAUAAUCUAUAUAAUUGUUAGGAUUUUAUCUUUAGAUGUCUAGAUGGAAAAAUCGUAUGUAACUUGUAAUUAGUAAAUUGUUAUUAAGGUUGUUUGAUAAAUUUUUAAUACAAUUAGAUAAUUUCGUUUAAUUAUGCUUAAUAUUUAUCAAGUUUUUAUUUUCUAUUAAUUAAAACAGGGUUAACUUAUUUUAUAUGUUUAGAUUACUUUCUUUUUACUUAUUAUUAUUGUUGUGUUUUGUGACCAUUGAUUUCAAAAUAGCUAGGUAGUUAACUUAAUUAUUCUAUAUCGAUUUUACGUAUACCGAUCGAAUUUUGAGGAAAAAUGUCUUUUAUAGUAUUUAAUAAAGUAAUAAUUAAUAAUUCUAUAUUUUUCGUGAAAUGUAUAUGCUAUUUAGAAGUUUAUGUGCAUUAAGUAUUUGCGUUGGUGCAUUGUGCUUAUAAUAUAUACUUGGUGUGUAAUAAACACAAUAAACUUCAAAUAAUAAUAAUAAGAGCAUAUAAUUUCUUAUAAUUAAGUAUUCUUCGUAUAUAUUAACGUGAUGUUCUUGGCUAUUCUGUUAAGUGUUUGAAAACAUACAUAUCUUACGUAUUUGUUGUUUUACUUUAUAUAUUACAUUAGCUGCCAACUGUCAAGUACACGAAAGGUUUUUUCUUUAGAUUUUUAUCCUGUAAAUUUCUAUUUUAAAAUAUUAUUUUAUUUAUAUGAAAUUCAUAUCUUGACCUUAUAUUUUUUGUUAAAAAUACAUAAAAUUUCAUAUUUUAAUUUCUAAGAUUUCUUAAAAAUUAUCGAAAAUAUGAUGAUUUUUUUUUUUGAUUAGUAAAUAAAUUGUUGAUUAAUUGGAUAUUUAAACAAAAAUAAUGAUUUUUCUUCAAAAAGUUUGAAAAUGUAAUACAAGAGGUUCUUUCUCCUUUUUUUUUUAGAUUUUUAUCUUGGAAUUACUAUUUUUUGAUAGAUGAACUUAAAAUGUUGACGUUAUUUUUUCAAGUAAAAAUAUAAGUAUACGCAUAUAUUUUUUUCUAAAGUGUGGAGUUAAAACUUUAAUAAAAUUGGAUAUUUAAAUAAGAAAUAUAUCAUAAAUAAUUGUCAUAACUGUUUUUAUAUCACUUAAAAAAACUUUACUGAACUUAAGUUCUUCAAUCCUUCGACUGAGUCUGGCAUGAAUGAUAACUUUUUAAUUUUAAAAAACUUAAAAAAUAUCUUCCCCUAAUUUUAUUCCUUUCUAAUCAAACAUUAUGUAACUGAUCAACACUUGUAAGUUCAUUUUCUUCAACUUCAAGAUUUUUUCUCAAAAGUAGUACCUUAUUUUCUCUGAUUUUUAUUAUCUUUGCUGCCGACCAGCCAAUAUAUUAUUAUGAUAACAUUUACAAAAAAUUCAUCAUGUCUAUAAGUGAAAAUCUUUUAAUUGCUUUAUCUAACUAACAAAUUUAUUUCAAUCUCAUAUCCGAGUGGUAUAUAAAAUGGCAAAUUACAAAAAAAUAAAGAAAAUCAAUUCACUUAACAUUUACAUUCAAAUCCGAUGUAUGUCCAGCUUUUAAAUUAAAUUUCUUCCCAAGUCCUACGUCAAAUACAAAUACCUAGGUAUACAAGGUAUAGCAGUAUAUAAUAUAUAUUAUAUAACAUAGGUAGAUAAAUGACUGACACGGAAAACCAUAUUUCAACUAAAAGUCUUAAUGUCUAUAUACUUAUGCUUAGCCCUCUUUUAUGUUCAAAUAAUAGUAUCAGUCUAAUCUCAAAUUUAUAAUUUAUAAUUAUUUUUAAAACUACUUCAACUUAUGGAGUAUGGACUAGUGUCUAAAGCUUUGGGGCACUAUGAAAAAAACCUAAUAUAAAUAAAAUCUCAGCGUUAUAAAGUAUAGAACUUUGAUUAUUCCAAUACUCUCCACUAUAUGUCUCCAACUUAACUGCAUAAUGACUUUAAUAUAAAAACUAUUGAUGGAGAAGUAUCGUUCUUUUACAUUCACUUUCAUAAGCGACUUCAAAUUAAUUCUUAUCUUCAUAUAAAGGAUCUUUCUAUCUUGAAACUACCAGGAAAUGUUAUAAACAUCUUUCAUUUCUAACGAUUCUUAGUAUAUACAAUCUUAUUGUACAUUUUUUAGUACAUUGUUUAUUAAAUAAAAAAUAAUUAAAAACUAUGAGUUUUCUUAUGAUUUUUAGUAAUUUUUUUCGUACCUAAUUGGAAAAUAUUUGUUGUAGGUAUACUUGAAAUUAUUUGCUAUUAUACGUGUGUAUUAUUAUUCUAUAGAUACGCAUAGUUACAUUUUUAAAACAUUUAAGCUGUAUUUGUAUUUAUUCACAUCAUUCUUCGAAAUUUAGUAAUAUAGAGUACUAACACUACUAGUCACUUGUAAAUUAUUCUAUAUGGAUGUUACACUAUAUUUAUAUUAAUAUCAGAAUUUUCUAAGUUCCAUAAAUUGAACUUAUUUUUUAAAAAAUAUUGGGUAUAUAAUUACAGUGAUUUUUCAAUGAUUAAAUAUUCUAAAAAAAUAUGAUACAGAAAAAAAAAUGUCUAUUAUAUGUUAACGUUUUAUUUAAAUGUAUUUAGUAUUUACCUACCUGCAAUAACAUGGCUGAAUUAUAACAAUAAUACAUUGAGUAUACGUGUAUUUUCGUGCAACGAAUUCCUUAGUAAAUAUCACAUUAGAUUAGGUUUUAUUCAAAUAAUCAAAGCGUUAUAAAGAGUUAUAAUUCUUUAUAACUUUAGAAUUGUUAAUUGAUAAUUAUACCCAUACUAAAAACGAAGGUAAUUAGUAAUCAAAUACAUUAUAAUUUUCAUCAUUAGUUUUGUUAUUCUGAAAUACAACUACAUUUUUUUUAAUAAUCGGUAAAUCCAUAUUUUUUCGUUUUACAUUUUUGUUAUAUUCUUAUACUUCUAAUUGAUUCAACAUUAUCAUAAAAAAGUAUAUAAAAAAAGAGUAAGAAAUAACAAAUAUAUUUUUGUCUAUAGAAAUAUUUAAUCAGGCAAUAGGCAUACGUUGUAUAUUUCAUUCUUUUCGUAAAAAUUAUGUUUUUAGUUUCAUUAUUUUAAAUAUUUUCUUACAAUAUUAUUAUAAAAGUUAAAUCUAUAUAUUUUUAAUAAACUCAAUUUAUUCAACCUAUAUCUAUUAAAUUUUCAUCAAUAUUAUAGUUAAAAUUUUAUAUUGUACAUUUGUACAGUUAAACAACAAUUAUUUUGUGUUUUUAAAUCGACAGCAACGUUGCAAUAAUAGCGAAUAACUAAAAAAUGUCACCUUAUUAAUUAAAAUAAAUAUAUUUUAAUAUUCAGAUUUUAAAUGAUUUAUUUUAUAAUAUUGCGCUUUAGGCUUGGCUUUAAUAUUUAUUAAUCAUACAGUUCCCCUUCGUUUAUGUAGGUAUAUAAUAUAUAUUAUGUAUUUGGUAAAUGUUUUAUUUUAUACAACUCGAUGAAACAAGUUACUUGCUUUCCAUUCGAAUGCAAAUUAAUGUUUUCCUAAGCCAAACAUGGCAAUACUGUAGCAGGUGAAUGGAAUUUACCAUAAAUCAGAAGAACGGUUCCAUCAAAAUAAAAUAUAAUGUUAAUUUCCCCAAUAAUACUACAAUAAUGUUAUUGUGUGUUAUUUAUAUUUAGAAAUCGCAUACAAUUUUAAUCGAAUCUUUUAUAAACUUUUUGGUAAUUUAUUGCUUCAUAAUUUGGGGUAAAAUUAUUUUAAUAACUAUUUUUUUUUUAAAUUAUGACUAUAAUAUUUUAAUACUAUUUAUGUGAUUGUCUGUAUAAAUCUCUAAACUAGUCUUACCUAUACGUACCUAUCAGUGAAUUGGCGAGUAAUACCUAGGUGUUAUAAGAUGUAUUCACAUUUAUUUUUUAUCAGUUUUAUUAAAAAAUAGUAAUUUUUCGGAGUUUUGUUGUUAUUGUGAUCUAAAAAUUUGUCAGAUUUGUCAGUGAAACACAUCAUGUCAAUGAACAAGAAAUUAAAAAAAAAACAAAAUUGUUAUCUUUAUGAUAUCGGUAUAAAUUUAUGAAAUUCAUAGAUCUGUAAAUAUAGUAUAAUUUAACGCACCUAACAUAAUAGCUAUCUUCUUUACGACGUAGCACUUAUUGCAUCAUUUUUAUUUAUUUGGUUCACAAUUGUCUAAUAAAAAAAUUAAGUGUAAUAAGUAAUAACUAUAAAAAGAAUUAAUCGCUGUUUUUGUUGCUUGUAGCGUUUUAUAUAUCGUUAGAUUAUAUUUAUAUCGUCUUCAAUUGUUUUUACCUACUAUAAAAUAUUAUAGGUUAUUAUACCUAGUUGUGGUCUUUAUCAACAUAUUUUGUCACCUGUCAAUAAAUCCAGUGUUCAUAAUCAUUAUUGUAAUAAAUUUUAUUGUUACUAAUUGUAUGUGACAUCAUCCUAUCAUUAAUUUGUAUACGAUAUUGUGAUAUUGAUAUAGCAAAUUAGCCGCUCUAUAGGGUUUAAUCUCCAUUUAGCACUGCAUCUAUGCACGACAGUCUUUAAAUACAUUAAUAUAUAAUACUUAUUAAUGCUGGCGUGUGAACGAUUAUAUAAUAUUAUGUGUACGUAAUGUAAUAGUAUAAUACCCAUUGCACCAGGAUUUGUGUUUUGCAUUUAAUCAGAUGUACGCAAGGUUUAUUGUUGUAUUAAGUACCCACCAACUCACAUAUUACUAUACGUGAACAAUGAUUAAUGCUAAAAUAUUCAUUUGUAGGUAGUUUAUACUAUAUGUUAAACGCAAAAUAAAAAGUUGAAUGUGGUUAUAAGUCUUAACUAAUUGUAUACCGUUGGUGUUACAUAUUAUUACGACAAGCUAUUUGUAUUUUAAUUUAAUUAUGGCAGAUUAAUAGUUUAGUAAUUUAGUAUAAAAAUAUUCUAAUAUAUUUAUAGAAUGUAGCUUACUAACAUAUUACUAUACAAUAUUUCAAUUAGAUAUUUUCUAUUGAACUUGAACAUAGUUCACCCGAUAUUUGUAAAAAUAAUAUACAAGCAGGAGAAAAAUUCAUUAUUAAUAAUAUAACGAUUAGUAUGCUUAUAACUAAGUACCUGAGUAUUUGAUAAUUUACCUAAUCUUUGAACUGAUUCAAUUUGUGAUACCAUUAUUUUUUGCUAAAAUUGUAUUAUAUCUACUUGCACAUUUCAUGGUUUAUUUUAUAAUUCACAUGUAUCUGUUAUGAUGUUUUUUUUCAUGUUUCUGAUAUUUUUGUGUUAUUAACAUUUUAUAGUAGGUAUUUUAUUUAAGAGAAGAAUGUUUCAAAUCAUAAUACCAUAAGGUGUUUGAAAUAGGUACUUAAUAUGUAUGCAUAGGUACUAGUUUUAUGUAAGAUAUUGUGUUAUAGCGUAAAAUAAAAUAAAAAUGUAUUAAGUUACCUAUGCUUCUUUUUUAUAACUGUAUUGUAGUUGAUUGUAAUGAUUCAUAUGAAAAAGUACAAUUGGUAUUUAAUUCGAUAGUAUUGUAGUGGUUGACGGUUGUGUACAUACAAAUUUUAUAAAUAGGCAAUUAAACAAUAUUAUGUAAUUAUUAUAUACGCUAUAAGCCUAUAAAUAUUACAGUAUUUAGUUGGCGUUGGUAUUCUUAUUCUAGGUCAAAACUAAUAUGGUUUCAAAUAAUAUUCUCGUAUGAUGGUUUAGGUUAUAAUCGGUAGUUUUUACUACAGUAAAUACAUAGCGUAUAUUUACCGAGAAAUCCGCUUUACAGUUUAUGUAAGUAGAUUGGUUUUGCACGAGUCGUUUUGGUUAGUCUUAGACAACCGAGUAAGGUUUAAUAGUGGUUAGCCACUCGUGCUAUUUAUACGAUUCGAUCACCUUAAAAUUCUCCACCAAGAUUAAUUUGUGUAACCUAUUUGCAGUGUACGGCCCAUGUACGUGCCACGUGCGUGUAUUUUGGUUGGUAGGUAGGUAGUAUAUUACUAUCAUUUCUAUGGAAUCAUUUUGUUCGCAUAAGCUCAAAUCGUGGCAUGUGACGACCACUGGUAUAUUUAAAUUAUCGUUUUCGCAUUGAAUGAUUUUUUAAAAGUUUUGUCUGACAUUAAUAGAAUAUUCGGAAUAUUUCUCUCACAUUAUUACUUAUGUAAAUUAUUAUUAAUGAUUAUUAUGAUUAUUAUUUAUUUAUUAUUAUUAAUUAUUAUUAAUGUAAACAUUAUUUUUAAUAGUUUGUUGUGUGAAUGUUAGGCGCAGAGUGAUGUGUAAAUGUGACUGCCAACAUUUCUAAUUUUUGAUUUUAUGUCUUAGAAUAUAAUAUUACAAUAAUGUUAUGAGCAAAAAUAACUUUUAACAUAAAAAAAAAAAAAACAAAAAAUAUACGUAUUUAAACACAUCAUCUAAAGUAUGAUAACGUGUACAAACGAGAUGUAAUAAUAUAAAAAAAUUAAUUGCUGCAUUGUUAUUUUGUUAUUACAAUAAUGUUUUGGUUGGAAAAAUAAGCUAUUAAUAGGAUUUAUGUGGGAAACCGGUUUACAUUUAAUAGAAUUCGAGAAUUUUAUUUUUUACAAAAGCUCAAAAAGGUUGCAUUCGUGGAUUAAUUUUAGUGUGUUGUCUAUGGAUUUUGUUUCUGAAAUAGUAUUUAUCUAGUAUUAUGGAUACUUUUAAAGUUAUACCUAUGUACUUGAUCUAUUUGUAAAGACAGUUAUGAGACUGUGUUUGAUAAAGCGAUUCAUUUCCACUUCCAUACGCAUACACAGUCUCAUCAGGUUAAGGUUUGACGUGUUAUCUAAAUAAGUACAAUAUCUAUAGUAUAUUAUUAAUAAUAAAUAAUAAUUUAAUAUCAUUGGUUGAUAGUUUUUUAAGACCUUUUUGCUGCGUCGUUAGGUACUUGUUAAUCGUGUUUAACAUUAUAUUUAAAUCACCUAACAGAAUAUUAAGUUACUCCUCAAAUAUAAAGUUACAGUUUUAAAUUUUCUUUUAGUUUUUUGUUUAAACUUUUGCAGAAAUUCUUUUUCUUUUAUUCGAAAAAUAUACAUCUUUUAACAUAUUAACAUAUUAAUCGUCUUUCAUAAAUAUAUAUUAUAUUUGACUGUACCUAUAUCAAAUAGUUCUGUACAUAAUAAAUAGCAUAAAUGUUUUAAUCAAUAGAUAUCAGGUGCUCCUAUUAAGAUUAUAAAAAAUAAGGUACUCAGUGGGAAUCAUGUUUUUAGAAAUACGUUUAGCAACAAAUAUUAUUAUUCAGUGAUUUUUUUUCUUUAAAUUUCAAUAAUUUUUAUUUAAUUUAGUGUAGCCGCUCAUCUUAAUAUUAUACUCGACAAAUGAUGUAAGUAACGAGUCAAAUAUACUCAUAUGUUUCGUCGAUUUGGCUCGAUCAAUAAAACUUAUAUGACCUAUGAAAGAGGAUAGUUUUUUUUUAUCAUUUUUACUAGUUAUAAAUUUUUUUUUCACACUUUUUUAACUAUGAAAUGUAUUCUGAUAAUUAUUAUUGCCCAAUGACAUUGAAACUAUAGAAAAAAAAAAUUUUAUGUUAAGCCUGUUAUAGUUUAUUUAUUUAUGGAUGUUUUGUUUCAUAUAUGAUCAAAAGUCUAGGAGAUUAUGUUUAUUCGCAAUUAUAAAAAUUCCCGUUGUCUUCUAUAUUAUAGGUUGUGGCAUAAUUAAAAAUUUAUCCGAGAUUAUUAAUUUGUAUUAAUAAUAAUUAUUUAUAAAUAUUUUAUGGUAUUUUAUUUUGUACUUUGUUAAAAUUCCAAUUUGCUUUCCAUUUUUGUAACAAUAUGUUUGAAAAAUAUUUCAAAAUAGUUGUGUCUAUUAGUUAAUGCCGUGACUUUUGUUGUUACGAUUAUAUAAUCAUCAAUAUACCAUAUUAUUAUACAGUCAGCUUUCUCAAAAUAUAUUAUCAAACAAAUAUUUAUGAUCCACAUUCCUAAAUUAUUAUUUAAAGUACAUUAUUUAUCCACGUUAAAAUAUAUUUAAAUCUAUAUUUUCGUUUGUUUAACACUAUAUUAUACGUAUAAACCAUAUUAUAAUGUGAAGUUUUGAUAUAUUUGUAAUAUUGACUAUUUUAGCAGUACAACACUAGUUGUUGGUCAAAUUUAAUUUAAAACUGUACUACGAAGCUUAAGAACUUCUUCUCAAUUUUUAUCAAGUUUAGAGGUAGAUGAAUAUCGUUUGGGUAACGAUUUCGGUUCUUAUAUUUUUCGUUGAACUUUUUACGGAUUUCAAAAUAACAUAUUAAUAUGCAAUACACCGCUUAUUAUUCGUCAGUGUAUGUUUUAAUUAGAUGCUGUUGAGUAUUACUAUCACACUUUUAUUAUACCAAAACAUCAUAUAGUGGUUGACAGAUACUUGUCAAGGAUUGGUUCCCUGCGACAAUUUAAAUUAAAUGAAAUUAAGAAACAUUUGAGAAAGAUCUUGGGAAGAAAUAUAUUUUUAUAUUUAUUUAAAACCUCGUCGAUGUGUUAUCACGUACCUGAGCUAAGCGUUCAUAGUGAUUUCUAAUAGAAACGAACUCUUUUCUAGUUAUUAAUUUACAUAGUAUAAAACCGUUCACUUUUUUUAUUAAUACAUUCAUUUUUUGUUAAACGUUCGAUAUUUAUUUAUUGGAUACUAUAUUAUAUUCAGAUUAUCUGGACCAAGUUUAUAAGCAAAAAUAUGUAUUUCAUUAUAUGUAUGGGUAUGAAUUAUUUGACGGCUUGACGCUGUAUUAAAUUAUUUAACAAUUUCGAUCUGGUACAAUUUGUAGGUAGUUGGUACACUUAAGUUGUAUUACCUAUAUUUAAAAAAAAAUAAUAAACACUAAUAAAUAAGAAAAUAGGAACAAAAAUUAAAUAAUAAUAAUUUAUAGAUGGCUUUUUUCAUUGAUAGUUAAUUAUUGUUAAUUAUUAUUAAUAAAAAAAAAUGAAUAUAGAAAAAUAAAAUUGAUAGAAUUUAAUUUAGUUUUAAGAAACUGUUUUAGACAUACCAUUUAUUGUGUUUUAUUGUGUUUAUACGAUUUAAAUAAUAAUAUUUAAAAUUAAAGGACAACUAAAGUCUAGCUCACUUGAAUAAUAAUAGUCUACAAUGUCAAUUAAUGUUAAUUUAUGAUUUAAUGUUGUAUGAUUUUUAAUAGGUAUAAUAAUAGGGAUUUAAUCAUUUAAUAAUUUUUUUACAUAAUUGAGGAUAAUUUAUUGAAAUAAAUAUAAUUUGUGUGGAUUCAUAAGAUUCAAAAUUAAUUUCAUUAAUAAGUAUCAUCAAUAAAUAAUAAUAUUAUUUUGAGUUAUUUAUACACGAGUUGAUAUAUGAUGUAUUCGUAGGUUUUGUGUUUGUUAGGUAGUGCUUGUAUUUUCAUCUUUAUAUACAUUAAACGUGUGUACCCACUAUGACAGUUGAAUUUCACUAUAUUCUGUCUAAUAAAUUAAACACCCGAAACGACGGCAAUAUCACGCAAGUAUAAUGUGUUUCUUAAACCAAAUCGAAUUUAAAAACCACCAAAAAUUAUUAUUUUAUUCACCGCGUGUGACCUGCGAUAAGAUUCUGUAAAACAAUAACCAUAAAUUAAAAGACCGCAGUCAUUAUUAAAUAAUAAUUGUCGCUUUCCUUUUAAUGGACCGCCGUUUGUCUUGUGACCAUCGAAUGAUGACCACAUUACGCCUACUUAGCUGAGUAAUUGCAUUUUAAGAAAGAAAAAAAUAUAAAAUAACCAUUAUUGAAAUAGCUUCGAUUCUAAAAAAGCAAACUUAUCGAUAUAUUUUUCCUCUUAAAUAAUUUCACUGGUAAAUGGUCGUCUCAGUGUGCUAUGUUAGACUUGUUAGUGGUGCUAAAUAUUUGUAUAGCUUAUGUUUUGUUCCUUAUUAUACAUUUUAUUAUACUUCACAAUAAUUUUUCUGAAAAAAAAUGUAAUCGAUAGAUAUAUAAUAAUAAUAAGAAUAAUAAAAUAACAUAGUUUUUAAGCCUCUUUUUAGUACAUAAAUAAUAUAGGUACAAUACACUACAAUCAUAUAUUAUUUCAUAAAUAUUUUAGGCAGUUAAUUUAUUUCUAGUUUAAGUUUUAUACUAUAGGAAGGUACUUAUCAAACAUUAUUCGUAUUGCUUAACAGUUAAUAGUUUUUAAUUCGUAUAAGAUACUCUCAAAAUUAGUAAUUUUUAUUAUACCGUUUAGAUUGAAGCGUGUUUAAGAUAAUGUCAUACAUUUGUAUAAUAGGUAGUUAUUUGAUAAUGUUUUAAAAAUUAUGGUGUGUAAGAAGGAUUCAUACUUAUUAUUACGUCAUAUAAAGUAUAGGUAUCAUGAUAAUUUUAAGUAUCUAUAUACGUACUUAUAAACUAUGUAUAGGUAGUUAAGUAAUUGGUAACACAAUAAGGCGUAGGUAAUAGGUACUAAUAAUUGGUAAUAUAUUGGAUAUUUACCUAAUUAACUACUCGUAAACAGCUAAAGUAAAAAUGUAUUAGACACUUUAUGUAUUUGAAUAAUAUAGAAAAAUUAUAAGGUAAAAUUCACAAAAAAUAAAAUGAAUAUUAAUCUCAUUAUAUGUGUUAGAACAGGUCUAUGACUCCUUAUGUUAAUAUUUCUUACCCACAUUGUGUAUACAACUAUAUAAGUACAAUUAAUCAAUAAUGAAAAUGAUGAAUGAUUGAUUAUUUUAUAUUUACUUGUCUUAUUAAUUCAAAGUAGAUAAAAUAGUUUUUGCAAUUUAUUUAAUUGCUAUAAAAUGUGUAUGUAAAAACAAAAUAUUAAUAUGUGUUUUUUGUCUUUAAUACCAGACUGUUUUAUUAAAGGUAUAUUAUUAAGAUUAAAGCUUAUUAUUACCAUAUAAGUUAAAAUAUCAAACAUUAAACAAAUACAAAAACAUCGCUAACCCGGAAUAGACGUGGGAUAAUGAGAAAACUUUGUCAAGUAUAGUUAUUUGAAAAGGCCUUUAUUAAUGUAGGUAGCUUUUUGCUAGGGAUGCGAUAUCCUGCACUAUAGCUAUAUUUAAUUAUCAUGUGUUUUAUACAUAAAUUGUAAAAUAUAAUGAUGUAUGAUAUUAAUUAACUUGCAAGUUAUUUUUGACAAUCUGCCAAUUAUAAUUAUUUAACUAAAAAAUUUCUUAAAAAUUAAUUUAAUAGUAUGUAGAAAUGUAGAAUAUCUAAUAGUUUAUUAUAAAGAUUUUAAUUUUAAGAUUUUUAUAAUAUUUUAUAUUUUUAAUUUAAUUUGUCUUACAUACUUUUUAGAGAAGACUUAGGGAAUCUAAAAAUAUCUAAGGUUUACUUUUCUAAUAAUGUAUACGAUUUUAAUUAUACUGAAUAGUAUAGGUUUUCGUAAUUUUUAUUAUACUAUAAGUUAAAAUCAAAUUGUAUUGUACUGUAAUUUUGCCUUUUGACUCUUGUUGCUUUAACUUUAUGGAUUUGAGUUAGAUUGAAGUUAAUUCUAUCAUAUGAUUAAUACGUUUUUUAGGAUACAGAAAAAAUAUAAAAAAUUUAAAUAAAAAAAUGUAUUAUUAUAAUUAAUAAAUCAUAACUAGUUAAUUUGAACAUACGCCAUUUUUCAUACGAUUUAAACUGUUUAAGAUAAUCAUAUUGUCUAGUAUUUUGUAGAAUAGAUUUUAUUAAUGUAUGGAUAACAGAAUUAACAGAUUAAAAUUUAUUUUAUUAAUUUGUAAAACAGUAGGAUUAUCUAAUUAUCUGAUAGGAUCAUAAGGUUGUUUUUGACUUGAAGUAUAAAAUAAAUAUAUAUUUUUUUUUAACAAAAUUGUUAUUUUCUAUGAAAAAUAUAAACAAUACGUAGCAAACAUGAUGUGGUGCAAAUAUUUUACAUGUAAAUAAUUCAUUAAGAAAAAAAAAUUUAUACGAGAUAAGUUGAAUUUUAUAUCAAGGUUAAAGUUUGAUCAUAUUAGUGUAUUAAUAAUUAUAUAUUGAUUUUCCCUGUAAGAAGAAUAAUUAAUCUUACAAAAUAUCACUGAUAGUAACUGACAUAAUUUUUAAAUUAUGUUUAUUUCAUAUUAUAAGUUAACGUUUAUAAAAACUUUGUACUAGUAAAAACGUGUUGAAGAAUGUGUAAUUAUAAUAUAGUUAAUAUACUUAAAUUGAUAAAAAAAACAAUAAUUAUUUAUAAAAUGACACAGAAGAAUAGUAAAGUAGGUGAUAGUUAAAAGUGUUAAAUAAUUAGUAAAAUUAAAAAUAAUGUAUUCUAGAUACAUAGAUUUAUGCUAUAAAAAUAAAAAGCUUAUAAUUUUAAGAAUAUUAUUUGUUAAAAAAGACAUUAAGAUGAAUAAUAUUAAUAAUAUAUUAUUAACUUAUAAACACUUACCACGUUUUAGACUUCAAAUUCUUAAAUAUCAAAAAAAAAAAAAAAUCAUACUGAUUUGUGCUUAUGAUAAAAAUGUAUAAAUUUGAAAUAAAAGAGAGUAUGCAAAUAAAUUAUUAUUUUGUAGAAUGUAUUAAACGUGAAUAGACGAUGUUUCUUUUAAUCAUAAGAUAUCUUAUAUUUUAAUAUUGUAUUAUUUAGAUGGUUAGUUAUGUAUGAUAAACUAUUUUAACAUUAUUGUUUUACCAAUCACAUUACAGAGUCAUUUCUCUAGUUCGACUAAUGAUUUUGAAUCGUUAAAUAGGUACAAAUAAAAUAUAAAAUAUAAAUAUAUAUUAAAUGUCAAAAUAUUUUAUAGCAUUUUAUAAUAGUAUUUAGGUUAAAUGAGAACUAACAUGUAUUCAAUAAACAAUUUAUUAUUUUCUUUGAAAUAAAAAAAUAUUUUUAUUAAAUUAUUACUUAAUAUUUUAGAUAGGUAAUACAAAAUAUAAUUAUACCUUAGGUACAGCUAAAAUAAAGUUAAAAUAUUUGUAAGUAGAACUGGUAAAAUAGAUAGGUAGGUAGGUACAAUAUUAGUUAAAUUGUAUAAAAUAAAACAAACAAUUAGGUGUAAUCGUUGCUGAAAAAAAAGAUUUUCUUAAAUUAUAAUAAUUAAAAUAUAAUUUAAAGAGGUACUAUAUAAGUAGGUACGUAAUUAUUAAUAAAACAAUAUUUGUAAGUUGUACUGAAAAAUAAAAUAAAUUUACUGUUUAUUUUUCCGAUUAAUAUUUUACAUGACGUUAUAAUAUUAUGUAAAACAAAUAAUUUUUAAUAAUGUAUAAGACUUAAUAAAUAUAAUAUUGAAACAGUUUGUGAAACUAAACAUUAUUACUGAUAUUUUAUGUUUAAACUGUUUUUUUUGAAAAUUAAAUAUAAAAAUAAGUUUGUGUAACAGUAUUUUAUAUUUUAAAGAGAAACAAAAUGAAAAUUUUAUCUAAAUGACUAUUUAAAAAUUUAAAUAUGUAGUUUUAAAUAUUUUAUUUUCAUAAACAUAAAUGAAAAAAAAAUUUUAAUGAAAAGCAUGCUGGUUAAGUUAGGUUAAUUUAAGUUUUUAAGUAUAAUUUAUUUACUUUUAUUUUAUUUUUGUCGAAAAAAGCUAUAUUUAAAUUUCGUAGAAAAAUUGGUUUAUAUCACACUAGUAAACAAAACUAUAAUAGGAUAAAUAAUUGUCUAUUUAGAACUCAUAUAUUACACCUAAAGUUCACUAAAAAAAAACGAUGUCAAUAGUAUUAUGAUAUAAAAAUGUAGACACUAACACUGAUUGUCGUGAUUUACGGGGAAACUACAAAAGAAGUUGAUAUGUUAUUUUACUACAUUUCUGAAAUUUUAUUUGUGAGGUAAAAUAAAAUUGAAGCAUAUACGUUUAGUAGUAUACUGUAAAAUAUAUUUAAGUCAUUAAAUUAAAACAUUUACAACAAAUUAACCAAACACAUUUUUGUAUUUUGUCAUAUGUAAAUAUUUUGCUUAAUGCUCGUAUCAAAAAUAUUAUAUAGGAUCUAUACACAGGAUUGAAAUGUCUUAUUUUAAAAAGAUCUUGUACAAAUGCAUAGUAAAUAUACAUAAAUAUAUUCUUUUUUUAUUAAACAUAAAUAUAGUCCAUUACUAUUUAUUUUCUUUUAAUUUAAGUUAUUUAAUAGUAAUAAUACCUAGUACCUAUACAGUUAUUAUUGAACCCAUAUAAAUUAAUUACAUUUAAGACAUGAAAAAAUAAGCUAAUAAAUAAUGUGUAAGAAUUCAAUUUUUUUGUUAUAAAAGUACUUACUUCAUAGAAAAAGAUAUUUCAUGGAUAUUGAAAUGUGCCAUAUUGAGUAGUUUUAGUUAUAAAAUCAAUCAAUUGUAUAACCAACUCAUAUAAUACAUCCGGCAUGCAUUGUUUAGUUUUUAAUUAUACAACUAGAAAUGUUUUGUAUCGUAUAUUUAGUAAAAUUAAUAUUUUAUUAAUAUAAUAAUAAUUUUCAGUGGAGCCGAACUCUGCCUUAGCUUUAAAAUAUAAUUACUUUAAUAAUUUAUUGGACACUUGGAGCAUAUUAAAAUGGUUAUUGUGAACCAAUAAGGCCCACAUAAUUAAUCAAUUUAAUAAAAGUACCGAUCAUUGUUUAGGAUAGACUGUAACAACUUAAUUUUAAAAUAAGUUUACCACGGGUUUGUAAGAACCCGUGUAAAACGAUAAAUGGUACACAUAGUGCAUAGAAAACAAGAAUUUCUAUUGUUCAUUGUAUUUAACUAAUUUCAAUGGUCUCGUUAUUUAAAUUAAUAUCUAUUAUAUAAGAGAUUCAAAAUGUAAUAUUUUGAAAUUGUACAGGUUCAAAGUUCGGUGACACUGAUUAACUCAAAUGACAAUAAAUGAUUAUAAAUGUUUGUUUUUUUAAAUUUGUUUUAGAUAUAUUCUCAUCAAUGUUUAUCACGACUGGGGUAAAAUAAUUGUUCUAUGAAAGUCUAUAAUCAUAAAAAGUGGACAAAUAUUUAUGAUUUUGACAAAAAAAAAAAAAUAUUAAUAAUACAUGCGGAAUACUCAUUAGUUUGGUCCGAUAAACCACCAAUGUGUCUAAAAGUUAGAAAAUUGACGCAGCUUACCAAGUUCUCUGUGACUAAAAAAAUCAUACGCUCCGUGAGGAUUGCGCACGUAAUUAAACGUUUCCUGCAGACCUCGUCAAAAUUGAUGCUAGAAACAUAUAUUGCUUUUAGUAUACGUAUACGUUAAAUUGACUCUCAGCAAAACCUUAGAAGUAGAGAAGCCAAAGCGGAGAAUGUUCUUGGAUGAAUAAUCACGAAUGUAUCAUCUUAUAUACACUUAAUAUUGUGUAGAGAGGUACAGUUUUACUCGGCUUUUAUUGAUGACAUGCUUCUGGAUGUAUGUGUUUCGAAUAUGCUGAAAUUACCUAUUUGACAUUGUACAGGUCGCUUUCAAGUGAUGUUGUUUGUUUUAAUUUUAUUAAAAAAUGAAUACAAAUUUAAAAUAUGAUUUUGUUAUGUUCUAUACAAUAUGUUAUGUGAUUAAUCUAAAAGUUCACAGCGAUUGGAGAGGAGAAAAAAUUCCCAGGGGUCGAAAAGUUUGACCACAAUUGUUUGUUUUUCGAUCGAUGAGAGUACAAUGGUUUGGUGUAUAAUGUAAGGGCAACAACUUUUUUUAAACUGUUUUGAUAACAAUUAAUAUUUAUACGAAAAAUUUGCAUGUUUACCUUUGCACGUUUGCAUUCUGUUCAGUACCUAACGGUACAUUUUUAAUGCAAUCAGUUUGAAAAUGUAUAAAUUACAAUGAGACUUGUAUGAUAAAAAAGUAUUAUUUUAAAAAUGUAUACAAUAUGCAUAUUAUGUCGUUUAUACCUGAUUAAUUAACAUCAAAUAAUAUAAUAUUGGGUUUGAAGUACAUUCCGGUCGAGUGUGCUUGAAAGUUAAUAUUGAUUAAUAAUUUGUUUUAAUUUUAAAAACAAUGCCCUAUAUCGUUGGUAAACGUGCAAAUUAUCGUGAACUUAUAUCGUGAUGAGCAUGCGUUUUGUUAGUAUUUGGUGUAUUAUAUGAGAUUGGUACUUACAUAUUCAUAAGAUUCAUUGUUCAAAAUAAAAUAUUUAUAGAAAAUAGUAAAUGUUUCUUAGAACAUGAUUACACGACUUAUACUAUUGUCUAUAUAGAUAUAAUAUGCAAGGUACAUCUUAUUGUGGAGCUAAUUUAUUUUCAUGUGUUGUUAUUAAGCCUAUUUAAUGUUAGGUGUAAUUUUAUAUUUAGGUACUAUAGUUUUUGGUAAUAAAACUAAGUAGUUAAAGGGUAUUCAAAUUGAUAAUUAUAGAUUUAAAAAGAAUUUAAAUGAAUUAAGUUAUUAUAUAUUAUAUUAUAUUAUAUAUAAACUAGUUAACUCAUAAUAAUUGCGAGAAAUAAUAACAUUUUAUAAAUGUUUAUUGUUUGAUUUAGGUAUAUCUGUUAAUUCAUGUUAAACUGCAGUUAUUUUUAAACAAAUAUUUAUAUUGGAUUAAUAAACGGUAUAUAUAGGUACAUAAAAUAAUGUUUAAAAACAGGAUAUGGUGAAUUUAAUUUCAAACUACAUAUCGUUUUAGUCCUUAUUUUAUGUAAUAUUUAACCUUUAGUUUUAAGUCGUAAAUGAAAAAUUAGAAAGUAAAUAUAACUAAGGUUGAAUAUUGAAACCAUAGUUUAAGCUUAUGUUACUACUUACUUUAUAGUUUCAUUAAAUAAAUAUAUUUUAAAUGUUGAAUAAAAAAUGUAUGGUAAUAUUAUAGAUAACAUAAAAAAACUUUAUAUUUUACUUUUUAUUAUCAUAUUAUUGUUUUCUUACCAAUAUAUAGGUUAAUCGAAAGACAACUUUUACAUUGUUUAUUUUAGUGUUAAUUUGAUAUUAUUAUUUUAUGGUUGAGAUAAAAUAUGAAUGUAAAAUAACGAUUCUCCAUAACAGCCCUAUAACAUUUACUUCAAGCACAACAAUUUAAUUGAAAUGUAUCGUAGGACCUCAAAAAGUUUUCAAAAUUAUACAAUAUAUGCAUAGUGUUAUAGCAAUUCUAUAGAAACAUAUUAAAGUUGAUGUACAUUAUGUAAGUCAUUGUAUUUAAUAUUUAUAGUAAUUAUUACCUAAGUUAUUCGUUUUUGACUUAUUUAUGUAUUUUAGUUUAUAAUAUUUAGUAUUUACCUACAACUGUUAAAUGUUGUUUGUUAGGUUUCUUACUUUUUCAAUCAUAUUGAGUUUUGUAACACUUAUUUGGAUAAGUUAUAUUAUUUCUUCGAGUUUUGAAAUUAUGAUUUUAGUGUAUGAAAACUAUUGAAAAUGUGUGUACUGGUAUUAUUGAAAUUAUUUAUUUUAACGUAAAAUGUAUGGUAACACGUCUACUAAAGAAACAUUUUAUUGUAUAUUUCUAUUUCUAACUCAUUUUUUCUGCGUUGAAACAACACCAUGAAAAUAACAUUCUGAUAUUUGUAGAUCCAUAAAAAUGUUUUUAACGUUGCAUUCACAUUAUUGUUAUUAUUAUUAUUAUUUUUUUUUAUUACUAUUUUAUCUUUAUUAUCUUUUUUCUUUCUUUCCACUAUUUCAUUAUAAUAUUAUUUCUAUUUAUUUAUCUUUUUGUAAUUCACCAAUGUGCGUAUAUUUUUUUAUUUCUUACCAUCAUUUGCGUGUAUAGUUUAACAACAUAUAGAUAAAAGUAUAAUAAAUUAAAUUACACGUUUAUUUUAGGUGCAGUUAUAUUAUUUUUUUUUAAAGCAUACUAUCCAAUAAUUUUUAUACAUUAUUUAUUGCACAUUUUAAUGUAUUUAUGGAAACAAAUUAAAUGUAAGCUAUUACUAAACUCCUAAACUGUAUACCGCGUUUAAACGGUUUACGAGUUAUUCUAUGACAUUUCAUUGUAUAUACUUAGGAACAUACCGUUUUAAAAAUUUUAAGAUCCUGUGCAUUUAUCAAAUCACUUUUUAGGCGAUAUAGUAUAACAACACCGCCGUUCAGCCGUGGACGCGGGGCGCGAAAAGAGGAAUGAUAUUGAAAUAAUAUUACGAAUACUGCAAUGGCAUGCCAAACUUUAUGCGUACUGCACAUUGCGUGUGCACUGUGCACCGAUCACGAGGUAAUGAAUUGUGUACAACAGUUUAUGUUAUAAUAAUAAUAUCAUGUAAUGUACGUGCGGUGAAUCAUAAUGAAAGUUCACGAUGUGUAUAUUAUAGUUUUAGUCGUAUUUUAUGCAUUAUAAUAAUUAUUAUUAUUAUUGUAUACGCGUAUUUGAUAUUAAGACGGUACUCAUAUAUUUCACAAUAAAUGAUUUAUUCAAUACACACGCGCACGAGAUGUGUGCGUCUUACAUGGUAUCAUAAGCGUAUAAACACGUAUAACGGGAUGUAGGUUAGUUAUACGGAUUAAUUUUGAAACUUUUGACGUGCAAAUCCCGUGAUUUUGGCGUUCUUACAGUUUGUGCCGCACACUGCGGUGGUUGUUUUCCAGAACAUCUGUACGUCUAUAUAUAUAGACAUAUAUUAUGCGUAAUGUCGACUCCGGGUUCUUCCUCAUAUCCGACAACGGAAUUUAAUAAUAAUAUUCGUCGUUCAUCAAAACGUAGUGAAAGGUUGGUCUUUACAUAUACGUAAUAAUAAUAAUAUUAUAUAAGUAAACACUAAACUAUAAUUUUCCCUAAACGUCUCGAAUACGGUAUGAAUAUAUUGUUGGCAAAGGUACAUUGUGUAUAGUUAGAGUGAAAAUUAUUAUGUCCGGUAUAUGUAGCAUUUAUUAGUACUGAUACAGUGUAAAACGUAUUUAUUUAUUUUCAUAUUGACAAUAAUAUAAUACAAGCCAUUCAACAUAAUAUAUUGUUAUUUUAGUGUCGGUUUUAGAAUUGUGAACUUAUGAUUUGAUGGUAUUAUAGUUGAAAAUUUGGAGAUUUAAGGACUAAGCUGAUAAUGCUAUUUAAAAGGUUUUAGAAUUUAAGUCACUACAAAAACAUUAGAUUACGAAUAAAGUAUCUAUAUAAUGUAUUUAUAAAUAAUGCGUGAGAGUAUAAUAGCAUAUGCGAUUAUCUAGCUGUGGUUGAAUGGUUUUUUUCUUUCCUCUUCGAAAAUUAAAUAUAAACUGAUUUGAAAAAAGAGAAAGGAAAAAAAAAGAUGAAACUUUUAAUAGAGUUGUGGUCGAAAAAGUUUAAAUUUACUUUGUUGUUGUUUAUUGUAUAUACGCAAAGCAUAAUAUUCCGAAGUUGGAAACGUAACGCUCCCGAUUGAUAGAUAAUCGGUUAUUUUCAAAAACACUCGCUACCGCCCAUCCCGUCAAUCAAUCUGUCGUUCUAGUGUUUUAACAAAUUUAAAGUCCAUUUCUAUCUACUCACCCUACCAUGAUCGACGAUUCGCCACGAUUUUUGUUUGAUCGAUAAGGUUCAAAUAGAACAUCGAAGGCGUUUUCGACUGUUGAAAGCAGUAAACGUGCGCUACCUACAUUUUUUUCGGUAAAAGUUCUAUGUUAGCAAUAUUUUCAUUAUUGUUAUUCGACAUUAACAUUCAUGUAAUGCAGAUAAGUACCAGAAAAUAGGUACUUCAUCAAUAUAAUAAUAUUAUUCUAAACAAUUUUGUAUAAUUUUGAUUUUGGUUUUAUCCUAUUUUUUUGUAUGUAGGUCGUAUUGAAUGAAAACAUAAAAAAAAACUGAUAAAUAGUUAUUUGAAUAAAUUACUUCAUAAAAAUUGGUUACAUUAUUUAUAAGAUCGUUUUCGUAUUUAAAUUUAAGAUAAGUUAUCUUAUUGUUAAAUAAGUGGUAUAAUUUAUAUUUGUGUAAAAAAUUAAAAACUAUUUAAAGCGUAGGUGUAGGUAAGUAUUUAUAAAUGUAUAAUCAAUAUUUACCAAUGGGUGCUUCAGUAUAGUAAUUUUAUAUUUUAUUUUACUUUUUCAAACAUAGGAAAAGCAUUGAGUAAAAAUUGUAAUCUCUAUAUUACAAUAUAUAAGUCGAUAUAUCAUUAGAGAACUGAAAUAUAUUUAGUAUAAAUAUUUGUUUUAACUUGUUUUACAAAAUGUAAUUACUAAUAAUAUAAAUUAUUUAACGUCAAAUAUCAAAAAUGUACUCGUACAAAGUAUAAAAUAUUAGGAAGAUUUUGUAGGGACGUAUAAGAAUAUUUUUUUUUAGAAAAUUGUGAUCAAAGUUAUAGGUUUUAUAAGUAGGUAUACGUAUUAUGUAAUUUAGCACUAGGAAUGGUGAUACACAUAAAAGUAAAAAAGAGGAACUUUAACAUUUUAAGUAAAAUUGAAACAAUACAUUAUUUCGUCAUGUAUGUAUAUGUAAAAAAAACGUUCAAGUUAAAUAUUAUCGUAACAUUGAUUGAUAAACUAAAUCAACGUUAAUUAUAUGAUUAUAAAAAUAGAUAAGUACAUAGGUGGUCAGUUAUCAUUAUGUAGGUAGGUAAAAUAAUGAGUUAAUUAUAAAUGUACAAACAAUAGAACGAUAAUUAUGUCUUAAUCAUAUUAUUAUUGUGUUUUGAAUGGAAAAUAUUGAUUGUCUUAGAUAAUCGGGUAUAUGCAAAGCAGAUAAAUAGUUUUAUAUUAUGGAAAUAAUGAUACGUCCAUUAUGGUAAUUCACAGCCAUGGGUAUUUCAAUUUUACGAACAACUGAACAAAUUGCGUGUCUUACACAUUUCACGUAAAAUGAUAAAUAACUGCACGAUGACGCUUAAACGAUUGUAUAUUAUACCCUCUUAUAAAUAUGUGGUGGGGUAUAUGGGUAAGCGUUGUUAUCCUGCUGGUUCAGUUCAUUAUAGCAGGAUCAUAAAAUUAUUGUUAUAUCAUACGAGCUCGAGUAAUAUAAUGUGACGUUAAUGUUGUACUUGAAUAGGUAUUUUAUAAUUUCUGAUCACAAUUUGGUUCGAUAUGGUACCCCACGACGUCGAAGAGUAGGUAUCGACUAUAUAGUCGCUAGCUGUGUGUGUGUACUAUGUAUUGUAUACGAGUAUAUAUAUUAGUACUGCUAUUAUUUUAUUAUGUAGGUAAACGUUCAAACGUGGAAACAUAUUAGGUACGUUCGUUGAGAUUAUCUGAGUUGAAUUAAAUCACCGUACCAAGCGUUUUAUUUUAAACCUGCGAGGGAUGGUUAUCGAUAAUUAUAUUGUUAGCAUUUGGUCUAUUUAUUUAUUUAUAAUCCAUGUGCUUUAUCUCGAGAUGGGUUUAUUACAGAGAUUACCGUAUUCAAUGCACGUUUUUGCCCGGAAAAGAGUAGUGAGUUUGAAUUUCACAUAAUAAUAAUAAUAGGUAGAUGGUAUACGCCAUAUAGUAUAAUAAAAUUGACAAAAUUAUGCCAAGCUUUUAGAAUUUAUUGUUUUGUUAACUCUUUUAUCGUCGUGUUAUAACUUAUAAUGCAUAUUACUGAAUUGCUAGCUGUGUAUGUAUAUAUUUUUUAUAUUUUCUAGUGAAAACAAAUAAAUAUUUCCGAAUAUAUGUCGUAUAAGAAUGUAUAUUGUCCUUAUUAAUUAUAAUUUUUCAGAAUACGUAUUGUUAUCGAAACAGCCAUUAAAAUACAACGAUAGUUUAAAAUCGUUAUUGUGAUAUUGCUAAAUUAAAAUAAAAUACGUAAAAAUAGUAUUAUAAUACUUUAAAUGUAUAUAUAAUUUAUUUAUUUAUUUAUUUUUCAACAAUUUUUUUCACACACAUACAAAAUAUAUGACGUAGAAUAUAAUUAAUAUACAAGAGAAAAAUAUGAAGGCUUGAAUGUUUGAUUAUUGAAAAUAGUAUUAAUUUAUAUUAAGCUUAUAAAUAGUUAAGUUCUUAGAGCGAGCAGAACUGUAUUACUUAUAUGAUGUUAUUAUCAUAGCACAUUCCUUAUGACAAACAACAGUUAAUUAUGAGUAUUUUGUUUAUUUAUUCAUAAUCUGUAUAAAAAUAUAUUACUUAUUUAUCCGUUCUGUAUUGGUAUUCACUAUUUAUUACUUGUAUAAAUAUUUAAAGUAUUUGAUAAACAUUUUUUUUUUUAAUUAUUUCAUAGGAACACAUUUUUUAGAAAGGGUUUUUUGUUUAUAUUUUCUAUUAACCUAUUUCUAUCAUAUAAUUAUUAUUUUUUAGAAAACUAGGUAUAUCUUUAAAUUGGGCUGUGAAUACACUAUCAUAGUUUUAAUAAUAUACUACAUUUUUAUAAUAUUAUAUUUUUAAUAGUUUGGCUAGCGUUUGUUGAUAAUUGAUAUAAUAUCGCAACAUUAACUGAUUUAUAGUAAUAUUAUUAAAUAUUUUACAAUACUAUAUUAAAGACACGUGUUAAAUAUAUGCGGUAUUGGGUUAUUUAAGUAAUUUUUUUUUUUUUGAUUUUUUUCUCUUGUUUUUGCAUUUAUUAUGAGCGAAGCUUGUUGAUUGUAGUGUGAAAUUCAAACUGUGCAUAGUUUAUUAGAUAUUUGUUUAUAAGUCACAUUAACAUUGGAUUUGAUUGUAUUUAAUAUUAUAUAACAUAAUAUAUGUACCUACCUACGCUGUAAAAAAGUUGUAUUUAUCUAUUAUUGUUAAAUAAAUUAGGGUUUUAAAAGAAAAAAAACGUAUAAAUGGAAUUCAUUUUGUCAAUGAUAUAUAAGAAACAUAUAUUAUAAAAGACGCUGUAAGCACUUAGUUAUUUGUGAAAUCGAUUUGCCUAAGAGUGUUUGAUGAAAAGUAUUUUUUGUUCUAAGUAUAUGUUUUGAAUCUAGAUUAAUAAUAAGAUAGUCGCUUAUGUAAUGUUUAUUUAAGACCAAUAAGUGUUAAUAAUAAUAAUUUCCUUAUUAUCAUACAACUGUAUUUUAUAAUACAUAGGUAACAUAAUAAUAUGUAUAAUUAAUUAUAAAAAAACCCGUAAAGUUUUUGAUCUGAAAUGUUAUAAGUUUUUUAAAUGAAUAUAUUUUAUAGGUUUAUAGAAAUGUUUAGAAUGAUAAUAUUUUGUAUUAUUAAUCAUAACAGAAUGUGUUACUGUAUAAAUGGUAUAAUGUAUAUUAUAAAGUCUGUACAGACGUUAUUGAACUUAUUAGAGUUAAAUAGGUUUCAUGUAUUAAUAAAUAUUAUUUAAAUAAAAACUUAUUAUAAAGACUGUAAAGAAGUUAUCGAACUUAUUUUAGUUAAAUAGUAUAUAUUAUUGUAUAUCACUUAAAUGAAAGCUAAUACCAUGUACUAUUUUAUAAAAAACCUAAUUAAACAAGUUAUAUACUAUUAAAUUAUUACAGGUUGAAUUACAACAUCUUAAUAAUAUGGAACAUAAUAUAUGUAUAGAUGAUUUGAAAAACAUGUAUGGAUUUUAAGUAAAUACUAAUUUAUAAUUCGAUAUUAUACUAAGUACUAAUAAACUUGUUAAUAAAUAAUGUAGCUACUAUACACAAAUAUGUUUAAUUAUAUAUUUACGUCUAUGGGUUUAAAUGUUAAUUAUUCGUGUAUUGAUGUCUUUACUAUUUAGUAAUAAGCAUUAUUAUUCAUAGUACCUAUAUAUGCAAUAUCUAAUAAUACCUGAAUAUAAAAUAUACAGUUAUGUUUGUUGUUACUUAAAUAUAUUAUAUACCAGAUACCUAUACUGUUAUGGAAUUCACUAUAAGAAUUAUUAAAAACAUGAAUUUUUAUAAUACCUAUUAUUUUUAAAUACAUUGUACUUUAUUUUAAUAAUUGUUUAUAGAACUAUGUAAUUAGUUAUUUAGUGGUUGGAAUUAAUUAAGCUCACAACUUACUCGAUUAUAAAUUACAUCCAAACAUAAUGUAUGCGUUGGUAGUUUAUUUACAAUUGGUCAUAGUUUAAAAUAUAUUAUUAAGUACAAUUUCUGUAGAACUUUAAGACAUAGCUUGACUAUAGCUAAAGUGUUACAAAAUAUAAACAGAUACCAAAUACCUGGGAUAUUCAGUCCAAUCACUUUAGUUAAGGCUUUCAUUGUAAAACAUACAAAAAGUGUCCAAUAAUACCUGUUCUAUUUUAUAGAUUGUAGAGUAUAGAAAACAAAUUUGGUUAUUAAUACAAUUUAAAUGAUAAUGUAUGAGUAAUAUUCGAUAAGGCAUAAUAAAUAUUAACUUCGAUAUAAUGUUAAGUUAGUAUGACUCGUUUAAACAUAAAUAUUUAGGUUGUAAAAUAUAUUUAAAGUACAUACUAUUUUGAAUAUUAUUUUGGUAAAUCUAUGUUUUACGAGUAGGUAGGUGUCUGUUCGAAAUUUAUCUGUUUAAAGUAAAGAAUAAAUCAAUUUAAAUUUAUGUAAUAAAUUGUAUAUUUUUUAAUUUUCUUUCCGAAAUAUUUUAGUAAUUCUUUUGGCAAUUAUAAUAUUGUUUAUUUAUUUAAUUUCUUUAAAAAUGUUAUAGGCUAUUGACAGUUCACAGUUAUAAGAACAAUAGGAUAAUAUUACCUAUUUAUUUGUAUCUACAAUUUAACUAAUAAUUAUGUAAAAUCACAGUUUGUUAUUUUAACAUUGUAAAUCAUGCAUUGACAUUAUUUUUUUAUGUUCAGUUUAAACUCAAAAUCAUGAUUGUUAAAAUUAUUAUAUUAUCAAACAAUAAAAUUAAGUACCUAUUAAAUAAAAAUGAAUAUUCAAUAACACGUAUUAUAUCGGCAGGUUUUUACUCAAAUAACUAACUACUGUUACGAGUAUAUGUAGGCAUUUAUUUACUUUGUGAGUUAAAAGAAUAAAUAUAAUUAUUUAAAGUAACACUUGAUUAUUCAUCGCAAAUAAAAACGUAGGUACACUUUAGUAAGCGGUUGUGCAGUGUUCGUUCGUUGAAUCAGAAAAUGGUAUUAACAAUUUAUAAUAAGUGAUAAGUGUUUAUGUGAUGUCUAAUCCUCAUACUAGGUAUUAGUUAUCAUAUAAUAAAUUAAACGUUAAAUUUAAGUUAAACGUAUUUUGGCAAUACGAGUAGGUAGGUAUGUAAUAGGUAGGGUAAUUGAAAUGGUUUAGUCGACUCGUUAGUCGUUAACGGUCGCCAAGAAUAGAAUUCAACACGGUCAUAGGCGACAAUGAUAUAACUUAUAAGAAGUCACACCGCGCUCGCAGUCUAUCAUUCAAUACCUAUGAUUUGUAUAUGUUUUCACAGUAAUGUUAUUUGUGUGUCGGCCACCCACGUCUCGCAGUCAGGGCGAUUAAGGAUUAUGAAUAUAAUUAAAGAAUAUGGGCACACACGAGGCUAUUACAAUCGAAUUGGAAAAUGAAAAUAACACUGUAAAUCGUAAUAAUGUGUAGAUGGGUGCCCCGCACGAUACCGGGCGGUUAAAUCACGUGUGUUUAAUGAUUUAAUUCGCUGUACUGCGAUCGAAUUUCUGGGCGAUAGGUCAAUGAUGCACAAUAUAUUAUAUCAUAAUUAUUAUCUGUCUUUUAGAGUAUUUGAACUUAAUCGAUUGUUAAGAGGGAUAAACGAUCAGGAAACAAAUGUAUGUAUAGGUAUAGAAUAAAACGAUAUAAUACAUAUGUAAUUACGACCAUCCAAAAGUACGGACUUGGUAUGUCGUUGCAUUAUAUUAUGCAGUAGUCAUAGACAUACAAAUCGUAAUAAUUUUUAAAAUUUUUACGUGGAAUAUAAUGUAAUUAUAAUAUUAUUUAUUUGAUUAAAAUGAAACGUUUUAGUUACCUAAUCUUAAUUUAUGCUAAAAUAUUCUUAUACUGAUACAAUAAUAUAGGUAGGAAUUCAAAUACUAUAGGUAUAUCUUUGUGAUGAUAUAAACUCAGAUUUUAAUAAAUUAAAACUGAUAUUGAUUAAAUUGAAUAUUGGAAUAUCAAUGAAUUAAAGUAUUAAGUGUUCGGAAAAAUAGCUUUUUAACUUUUAAUGUAUUGGACGUCACUAGACUUAUUAAAAUGCUUUUGAUUUAAUAAUCAAUUACAAGAAGUAUUUUGAAUUGACAACUUUCUUGCCCAUAGGUCAGAAUAAUCUUAUACAAGAAAAACUAUUCCUUAGGUUAGGUUAGAUUUUGUUUUGUACCGUAGAAUAUAUUAUAUAUUAUACUAUUGUUUUUCGAUUAAUUCGAUUGCUGCUGAAUUUAAUCGGCCAAGACAUAAUAUACUUAUUAUUUAUUUUUAUUAAUAGUUUUAUACAAAUUAUAAUAAUCUUUUAUAAUCCUUUUUUUAGGAUCAAAAUAGAAAUGUCGUUUACCUAGUUAGUAUUCAGAAUUAUUAUCAAUAAAUCGUUCUCGUUUCUCUAUAUACUGAUUAUUAUUAAGCCUGUGCUUAGAAUUUUUCGACGUCCUGAUUUCUGUUGAACUCACCCCUGCACUACAAAACCGAUCUUAAAACUUUACCCGGAGAGCGAAACAAAACUUAAAACUUAUUCAAAUGGAAGACUUAUAAAAUGUUUUGUAUUUUCAAAACUUAAGUAAAAAAAAUUAACCCAAACUCAGAAACUAAGAAAAGCUAUGGGGACUACCGUUUUUAUAAACUUUCAUAGUUUUCGUAUACACGAGUCUACCUAUAUUGAUGUUUUUGACAAUUUAAUUAACACUUUGGUAGUAGUGUUCUUUUACUUUCAACGUUAUUUGUCUUCAGAUAAUAAUUUGUUGAAAUAUCUUUCAGACUAAAUAUACAUUUAAUUUGUACCUAGGUAGUAUAUAGGUUUUUGCAAUCGCAUAACGUUUACUUUCUUCAACAUGCAGUAUUUUUGUUAAAAAUGCAAAAAUAAACGUUAGUUAACUGAUUAAUACUUCUGCUGUAUAAAUUACAAAUUAUUAUGUCUAAAUUUUUUUACUGUUUAGUAAAAAAAAAUUCAAUCAAGUAUGCCUCAAUCGAGGAGUAUUAAAAUGAUUAUGUAUUAUUUAUAACUCAAUGUAGUCACAUUGUAACAUUUAUAUUAAUAAUUAUUAUGUAUUUUACAAUCGCGUAUUUACAGAUAGGUACUAAACAUUUUGUAAGAAGACCACUUUGUACAAAACACGAAUUUAAUGAUAUUAUUUAGGUAGAACAGAGUAUAGCAACGUACAAAAUAUUUCAUUCUCAUAAGAUACUUGUUUCUUUGUGCGUCACUAUCCCUUUAUAGUUAAUUGGUUUAUAAAUUAUAAGACAGACAUCGGUGCUUUGUAUAUUCUAUAUUCUGCGUUGUUUGUAAAAUGAAGACUGUUAUUUUGCAGUAUAACAUUCGACGCGUUCAAAAUUUGAAAACACUAUUUCCCUCUUCUUAAGUCGUUAAAAGAUUUUUACGAUAUUUACAUUUGAACGUUUCUGAGUUAACUAUUAUAUUUUGUUUCUCGGCACAAUUAUAUAAGGCUUAUGAUAUAGGCGCAACUUGAGUUUUAUUUAUGACUGAGCUGAAAUAUAAUCUUUUGUAAUAUUGUGUUGUAUAAUGUUCCUUUUUAAUCUAAUUUUGUAAUAGAUAUCACAUUUCAAAAUAAAUAUUAUUCAGAACUAUUUUUAUACCUAUACUAUACACACAUCCAAAAUGUGCUUUGUAUAUUUGAAGAAAUGACAAUAUUCUAUUCAAGGUAUUUAAAAUUAAAAAUUAUUAGUAAUUAUCAAAUUAAUUAGGUGUAGUAUAAUAUAGGCCGGGUAAUUUUUUUUAUUAAAUGUGUACUAUCCUUGAUAUAUAAAUUAAUAACCAAAUUUAUAUGUAUAUUGUUAUUGAAUAUAUUUAUUUUAAAAUGAAUUUUUUUAAUUUUAUUUGUCUAAUAUUUGAUUGCAUUUAUGUAAAUAUUAAUAAAUAGUGUUUACUUAUUAAAAUAUUUAUCCUAUUAGGUUCAAAACGGUAACAUUAUCAAUUUAUAACACUAUAUUUUAUUAAAAUUAAUUAAUUUUAGGAUUAUUUUCACAAAAUUUACAUUGCUUUUUUUAGAGUCAAAUAAUAGAACUUAUAGUUUGUCUAAACCUGGCUAAAUUUGUCUUACCACCUAAACUUAUUUUUUGAAUAGGUACAACGAAAAAUAUUUUUUCUAUUUAGAUUGGUAGGAGUGAGAGAGAAUGGGGUUGAAGCAUAAUUUAUGCAGGCUAAGUACUCUAUGUAUUUGCAGUUAUGUAUAUUGUCCCUCGUCAUCAGAAUUUGAACAUUGUUUGUAUAGUUCGUGAAACUUGUCAGUCAAUUGAGGAGUGCAUAGUUUAAGCUGAUGCGAUUUGGUCAUUUGAACGAUUUUAUGGUUGAUGAUAAAUAUUUUGGAUAGAGCUUCAUCUGUGUGAAUUUUAUUCACAGGAUUGAUUUUAACUACAUCAUUUUUUUAAAUUUUAUUUUACUUAUUAAAACGCAAUUUAUUAAUUGAUUUUUGUUUUGGAGUAUUUUACAGGCACGCCGCUCAGCUUCACGGAGGUCAAUAAUGUUCUGAGGGGCCACUGUAGGUUCAGCUUGCUGGCCACACGUCCCUCAUCAUAUUUAAAAUUUAAAAUGAAAAUUAGGGUUGUAUAAUGUUGAUGACGAGUGUAUAUAUAAUAAUAAUAUAUUGUCUAAAUGAGGAUAAUUAAUUUUAAUUAAAUGAAUGAACUCCGCUUUCCACAGAAGUACGUUAUUUAUUGACCUUUAUUGACAUUAGAUAAUUGUUUCAUAAACUAAUUAAUUUCAUAUUGUAACUAUACGUCGAUGGCUUCAAACUUUUAACUGCAUUAGAAAAACUCAUAUUAUAGUUAUUGAUUUGGUUAUCUUUUCUUAGUUUCGAGUUCAACAACUUAUUUCCAAAGUUGCAAACUUAAACAGUAAAACCUAUUUGGUCGUGUGUAGCCGUAGGUAUAUUCGUGCCAAUCAAACGUACAAAAUGUAUAACUAGUUCUAUACUCUUGUUUUAACUGCUAAUACCCUCCAAAUAAAAAAACUUUAUUUUAAAUGUGCAGACGUUAGAAUUUACUAAAUCAUAAUCAUAGUGAAUUUCCAAAAUAAAAAUACAUAUAACGACGACUCGCGUAAAUAAUUGAUGAUUUUCAGCUAAUAUAUGAACUAUAAAAUAUAUUUUUACGAUUUAUACAUAGGUAUAUUUUUGAAUUCUUAGCGAAUAAUGUAGGUACCUAUUAAUUUUACAGCAAUCCGUGUUUUUUAGUUUUAUUAUUGUGUCUGAAGACACUUUUUUUAGUAGAAAAAAUGCUUUUCAACUUAAGAGGAGAUUUCUGGUAGAUUAUUAAAUCUAGUUCGUACUGAAAGUGGCGGGGUAAAGAAAUAUUCCCAGUACUUUUAAGAGCAAAAUUAAUAACUAUAAAAAAAGUACGAACAUUCGUUAACAUUUUUAUUUUUUUACUAAAAUUAUUGUUCAGUAACCAUUGUCGGUUAUUAAAAAAAGUUUGACAGUCCCUGUUCAGAAUCGUUUUUCGGGUACUAUGAUAGAUAUAUCAUUUAAUUCAAAUUUAACACAUCUAUUACAGUGACCCAAUCAAUAAUGACGUACUCAACACUGAUACUGUAUACAGCGGAACUGUUACCAACUUGUUCGUUUUAUUUUUAUAUAAUAUAUUAUUAUAAGCACUCACAUCUGUACAUUGACUGAUAAUUGUUUACUUAAUAUAAUAUUAACAUUAAAAAAAAAUAUCUAAAUAAUAACUGCAAUUAUAUGAUAUUAUACAAAUGUUUGAUAUUAUUACAAUAAACGAUCUACCUAUAUUGAUUUAUUAAAA